rnacentral:rRNA from 1 species
AACGAACGCUGGCGGUAUGCCUAACACAUGCAAGUCGAACGAGACCUUCGGGUCUAGUGGCGCACGGGUGCGUAACGCGUGGGAACCUGCCCUUAGGUUCGGAAUAACUCCCCGAAAGGGGUGCUAAUACCGGAUAAUGUCUUCGGACCAAAGAUUUAUCGCCUUUGGAUGGGCCCGCGUUGGAUUAGCUAGUUGGUAGGGUAAAAGCCUACCAAGGCGACGAUCCAUAGCUGGUCUGAGAGGAUGAUCAGCCACAUUGGGACUGAGACACGGCCCAGACUCCUACGGGAGGCAGCAGUGGGGAAUAUUGGACAAUGGGCGAAAGCCUGAUCCAGCAAUGCCGCGUGAGUGAUGAAGGCCUUAGGGUUGUAAAGCUCUUUUAACCGGGAUGAUAAUGACAGUACCGGGAGAAUAAGCUCCGGCUAACUCCGUG